UAUUAAGCGACCAUGAAUUAUUUGCAGUGGUCAAAGAGGAUCACCGAGUUAGCGGAAUCAUCAACCGGAAUUUCUCAAAACAAACAUUCAACAUGAAUAAAAUCCUGGCAGUUAUUUUGGUCACAUCAUUGUGCUUAUGUCUGAGUGAAGCAGGCAACUUCUACCAACAAAAGCAGAGGGGCAGGAAUUACGGUAGAUCCGCUGAUUUACAGCGUGCAGCACUCCUUAACAAGCUCUACAGACGUACGUUUUGGGAAGAUCCAGAAGAAUGGGACACCGGGUAUCCUAAACGAGAUGAUGAAGAUUGGCUCUAAAAUUUAUAAGAAUACCAAGUUGGUCAUUACCGGGUAGCAACUAGUCUAGUCAUCGUGUUUUAUAGUAGAUAUAUCGAAACAUUUUUUAACAUCAAGUUGCGUUCAAUUUCAAUUGUGUGAUUGUUCAAAACAUGUAUUAUGAUAAUGCUGACAAUUAUUAUUUUCAAUGAUAAAUGAGACAUUAUAUAUUAAGAGCCGUUACGAGAAGCUAAACUACUCUAACUCAAGAUUCAGGGCAAAUAUAGAAAGAAACGAAAGGGAAGAAAAUCAACCGACGGACACACUUGCUUGAUCGUCCCGAAACAAAGAUAUAUAUAAUCUUGACCCAUAUUCAUACUCGCUUGAGUCUAUUGUUAAAAUUACUGUUUGUAAAAAUUAAUAACAAUUUAUUCGUUUGGAAAUAGGCAUAUGUACAGACAAAGUAGAGUGGAGCAUACUCGUGUUUUUGGCUUGGGAAUAAUGAGAGGACUUUACGAAUAGAUUAAUAUUGUUAUUACACGAGUGUGCUAAUUACAAUAUGGCUUUAUUUUUGCUUUCAUGAUAAAAUAAUUUGAUCAAUAAAAUCUAAUAGACUUUGAA